AUUGAACGCUGGCGGCAGGACUAACACAUGCAAGCCGAGCGAGCGGCGGACGGGUGAGUAAUGUAUGGGGAUCUGCCUGAUGGCGGGGGAUAACUACUGGAAAAGGUAGCUAAUACCGCCUACCAUCAGAGGAACCCAUAUGGGAUUAGCUAGUAGGUAAGGUACCGGCUUACCUAGGCGACGCUCCCUAGCUGGUCUGAGAGGAUGAUCAGCCAAACUGGGACUGGGACACGGCCCCGACUCAUCCGGGGGGCAGCAGUGGGGAAUAUUGCACAAUGGGCGAGAGCCUGAUGCAGCCAUGCCGCGUGUAGGAAGAAGUCCUUCGGGUUGUAAAGUACUUUCAGUCGGGAGGCGUUACCGACAGAAGAAGCACCGGCUAACUCCGUGCCAGCAGCCGCGGUAAUUC
rnacentral:rRNA from 1 species